rnacentral:rRNA from 1 species
UACGGAGGGAGCUAGCGUUGUUCGGAAUUACUGGGCGUAAAGCGCACGUAGGCGGCUUUGUAAGUUAGGGGUGAAAGCCUGGUGCUCAACACCAGAACUGCCCUUAAGACUGCAUCGCUUGAAUCCAGGAGAGGUGAGUGGAAUUCCGAGUGUAGAGGUGAAAUUCGUAGAUAUUCGGAAGAACACCAGUGGCGAAGGCGGCUCACUGGACCAUAACUGACGCUGAUGCACGAAAGCUAGGGGAGCAAACAGG